AGUGAACGCUGGCGGUAGGCCUAACACAUGCAAGUCGAACGGCAGCACAGUAAGAGCUUGCUCUUAUGGGUGGCGAGUGGCGGACGGGUGAGGAAUACAUCGGAAUCUACUUUUUCGUGGGGGUUAACGUAGGGAAACUUACGCUAAUACCGCAUACGACCUACGGGUGAAAGCAGGGGAUCUUCGGACCUUGCGCGGUUGAAUGAGCCGAUGUCGGACUAGCUAGUUGGCGGGGUAAAGGCCCACCAAGGCGACGGUCCGUAGCUGGUCUGAGAGGAUGGUCAGCCACACUGGAACUGAGACACGGUCCAGACUCCGACGGGAGGCAGCAGUGGGGAAUAUUGGACAAUGGGCGCAAGCCUGAUCCAGCCAUACCGCGUGGGUGAAGAAGGCCUUCGGGUUGUAAAGCCCUUUUGUUGGGAAAGAAAAGCAGCAGGUUAAUACCCCGCUGUUCGGACGGUACCCAAAGAAUAAGCACCGGCUAACAUCGU
rnacentral:rRNA from 1 species